rnacentral:lncRNA from 12 species
UAUUUAUAUCAAUUUCUAGAUCAGGACAUUUAAGAAUAUGAUUUGAGAACAUUCCAGAAUAGGAUCUCUUUAGUCCUGUUCUUAAGCCCUAGAGUACCUUAAGAUUUAUUUCUUUAUUUAGAACAAUCUCUUCUUUCAGUGCACUAAAUUAUUAUAUCCCAUCUACCUAAAAGCUUUGAAAAUAUCUUCAAGUGUUCAAUUUACAUCUGGUGGUGAGAAGAGGCAUGGGGAACAUAAACUACUGGCCAGACCCUGUUCAGAAUUCUUCUAUUUGCUUAGCUCCAUUGUGACUCCAGCAAAGAGUUAAGCUAAAAAAAAAAAAAAAAAAAAAAAAAAAAAAAAAAUCCUUAACUCAUGUACCUUCAGUGUUCUGUGGGAACAAUGGAAUAGAAAAGCAGCACAUUAUAGGCCUCACCCAAAGAAGGGGCUCAGCUUGAUACCCAGAGGUGAUGUUUGCUUAGCUCAAAAUGACUUUUUUCUCUUGCCCACAACACCCAAUGGAAUGUGUCUCCGGCAGCCAAAAUUGAACAUAGUUGAUUGAACAAGGGCUUGAACCCAGAGAAGGAGGAGGAGGAGGAAGAGGAGAAGAAGAAAGAGGAAGAGGCAAGAAGACAUAGUGUUGAUUCACAAACUGGCCCCACACACGGAGAGCCAGGAGAGAUGGGAAACACAGACAGGCCACUCCAGGUGGGCAGGUGGUGGGUUCAAG